GAUAUUUAUUUUGAUUAAUAACUAAUGGUACAUUAAUAACAUGCACAUCCAUUAUUUUUCCUUUCACCUGUUUCUAACUUCACCAUUAAAACGCCAUUAUUUCUUUCCAAAUUUGUUUUGUUUUUUGCAUGUGUGAAUUUUAGAACAUUAUAAUCUGCAGCUAACCAAGGUAAGAAUAUAUAGUACAUACAUCUAUGUAACUUCUUUUUAUAAUGAAAUGUCGAGGUAAUAAUCACUAUUUUGUUAAAAUUGUAUGUAUUGCUUAACUUGAAUUUAUUUAAAUUUUUUCUGAAAAUACUUUUGGCGUUUAUAGCGUCACUACCACUACAUUCUGGAUUCGGUCAAGAGAAUUCAUAGAGAACAAAAAUUUGAAGAAAACGAUUAAAAUUUCUGUGGAAGUGAAGAAGAAUACUCCUGAAAAAAAUGUUAUGAAUCUUAUGCGUUUUGUUCAUCUUGCCAUUUUGUAUUAAAAGCGACGUUUCGUCGCCAUUUUUAAAAUUUUGCAAUGUUACUUUCCGAUUGACAAUAAAUUAAAAGUGGAAGAAUGUUCAUUCUGAUGCCACUGAAAAGCAAAUUUUUUCAUCUUGGAGGAUCUUGUAGUUAAUUUAGGAACAUUCACUCCAGAAAAUAUCUGCACGUGUGUCGAAAGAAAGCAUGACAGUGCCUUUGUUUCAUUUGGAACAGAGACAGUGUGGCAUUGCUAAAGGAAGGAUUUAUAACAAUGAAUGAACUGAUUAUCCAACAAACGGGAAGGAAUUGCAGUUAAUUUUGAUGCUAUUGAAGUAAUAUAUGCUUUUGAUGUCUUCACUUUGCAACAUUAUGGAGUUAAUUUUGAACUUUCGAGAAGGAGGCAACGGGAAAUUAGUUUGGAAAGGACUGAAACAAGUGUGGAUUUCCUCUUGGAUUUGGCUUGACCAUUACACUUGGAGACUACUACUUCUGCUACUUCCUGCAGUUAAUUAAGAUGAUCGAACAAAUGAGUUCAGUUUGACUGUAUGAAACGGCCAAUGUCUACAUGGGUGUUGUCUAUUCUGGACUUGGUCUUCAUUUGCAAUUUUUGUCUUCACUUCGCAACGUAUGCAGUUAAUUUUCAACCGAUGAGUGGAAGCAACUGGAAACUUAUUUGAACAACAGACUUUCUGCCGUGGUAUUCUGGAUUUGGUUUGCUUUUUACACCUGCAAACAUUGAGAGAUUGCAGUCUACAGUUAAUUAAGAUUGACGCUGGAGAAGACAAAGAUGACCCCGUAGUUGAA